GCAGUAGCCGCGGGAAUACGAGGGGGGCAAGCGUUGCUCGGAAUUAUUGGGCGUAAAGGGUGCGUAGGCGGUUUGGCAAGUUUGGUGUGUAAUCUUCGGGCUCAACUCGAAGUCUGCAUCGAAAACUGCCGUUGACACUAUCUGUCUUGAAUGUAGUGGAGGUGAGCGGAAUAUGUCAUGUAGCGGUGAAAUGCGUAGAGAUCGGGAGGAACAUCAGUGGCGAAGGCGGCCAUCUGGGACAACACUGACGCUGAGGCACGAAAGCGUGGGGAGCAAACAGGAUUAGAUACCCCUGUAGUCCC
rnacentral:rRNA from 1 species